GAAAGUCUGACGGAGCACGCCGCGUGAGUGAUGAAGGUUUUCGGAUCGUAAAACUCUGUUGUUAGGGAAGAACAAGUACGAGAGUAACUGCUCGUACCUUGACGGUACCUAACCAGAAAGCCACGGCUAACUACGUGCCAGCAGCCGCGGUAAUACGUAGGUGGCAAGCGUUGUCCGGAAUUAUUGGGCGUAAAGCGCGCGCAGGCGGUCCUUUAAGUCUGAUGUGAAAGCCCACGGCUCAACCGUGGAGGGUCAUUGGAAACUGGGGGACUUGAGUGCAGAAGAGAAGAGUGGAAUUCCACGUGUAGCGGUGAAAUGCGUAGAGAUGUGGAGGAACACCAGUGGCGAAGGCGACUCUUUGGUCUGUAACUGACGCUGAGGCGCGAAAGCGUGGGGAGCAAACAGGAU
rnacentral:rRNA from 1 species